UCAGCCUUCUAUUUCAGAGAUGGUGACAGAUAUUGAAAAUCAGAUCGAUAAGCAGCUUCAAGACAGACUGAAUCAGGAGAAGGUGGCUACAGCUCCUCUGGCCAAGGAGCUGGAAUCAGUAGAACCAAGAAGAGAUCUGUCCAAAGUCACUCAGCUUGUAAAUGGAAUUGGAACCUGUGUGCACGUGAUUCCAAGUUCUGUGCUCUUAACCAGUGCCCUUGUUUGUGGUGGCUAAUACAUGGAAGAAAGAUAUACUCCGUCCUUUGCUCUUGGUGGCGAGGAUUCUGAAGUGACCGAAGUCCUUGCGCUGUGGACAUGCUCUGCAGGGAUAGAAAAAAGGCUGAAAUUAUAAUUGGGCCAAACCUCACAGCAGUAACCCGGCAGGACGAAAGCGUCUGGCCCUUUAAGGCCACCUUCUUCCCCCCACGUGCCGUCUGGUUGGGCUGGCGACGCUGACGCACGCGUGACGUCAAUGGCAGCUGGCGGAGUCUGGG